rnacentral:lncRNA from 1 species
CUCUACCUUCUCGUCUGCACCCUCUGAUCUUAUUUAAGAUCUAUUUACACCCUAUGAACUUUACCCUUUGAGUGGAUCAACGAAUGUCCAUAUACCAUUGACCAUUAUGGAUUCAUUUCAAACUUUAUGGCUUUAAACCACUAAUCAGAGUCAGACUUCUGCAUGACAUCUAUGUAGGUGAUCAGAUCCUUGUUAUUCUCAUCG